UAAUCAAUAUUUCAGGGCUUCUUUCAUACAAUGCUUACUGUGCCGUGUUGUUUGUUUGUAAGCUAGGGAUAUUAUAGGAUUCAAAUAUUCAUCCCGUACAUGUACAAUGGCCAUACCUAACGCAACAGGUAUUCAUUGCAGUGCGUGAUACCACUUUUGAAGUAAGGUGUACAUGUACGAGGUGGUGCUGCUUGAAAACUUGAUAGUCCUGUUUCGAAUUGUAUCAGAUCGCUGUGCGUAUGAGGCAAUUCAGAAGCAGGAAACAAAAUUUUAUAUCUUAUAGAUGGUAGUAGAUGUUGAUGUACUAAGAGAGCAUAUAAUGCACAAAAAUCUUAAAAUACAUAAUAUGAAUAUUUUUGUUUCAUUAAUCCUGAAAUUGAAAUGGCAGCCAAUGGAAAUCAAACAAAAACCAUUGGUGAAUUAAGAUUCAGAUUCCAUCAUUUCCGUAAGUGCAGAAGAUAGACGUUUCAUGCAAUACGAGGAAAGAGAGAAUUGUCAGAACCAAUAUAAGUCCGUUUCGUACAAUCAAUAAUUGCCAUUUCCUUGAUUUUAGCUGACUAGAGCAGUAUCAAUGAGUGAUACCUAAGAGACUAGAUGAAAGAUGCUAGAGAAAUUUUAGAGACAUUAGACGAAACCCCCUUUAGAGAUAUUUGAGAUCUGGGAGACGAAAAAUUGUCGACAUUAGAGUUAUGAGAAUAUUAGAGAUUUAGAGUAUUAGAAAACCCAGAGGUCAUAAGAAAUGAGAGAAUAUUUUCCUGGGAUUAAAUUCUAGAGUAGUAGAAAACCUAGGUUUUCAAAAAUCAAUUCAUAUUACAGAGAGAAUUAUUCAAAUUCGAAAUCUGGAUCGACAGUCUAAGAUCUGAGCUUUUUGAUGAAUGAUUUGUUGGACGUCAUAGAGCCAAGUACGAGUAACCAAACUUGAUCAGAGGCCAACAAAUCCGAGAGAAGUAAUUGGGUACGAGACAUUAUCAUAAAUAGAAAUGAGGAGAAUUAUCACAAGAAAAUUCUCAAUAUCCGAGACCCUGUUGAAGUAAAUAGAGGUUUGAGGUUCUCCACGAAGUGCAGUCAAAUGUGACACACACUUCAGAGCAACGAUAAGCGAAGAAGAUGAGAUGAGCUUACUAUCGCAGACACAUUCCAAUAACGAGUUAUUAGGUUCAGAGGGAGAACCGGAAUCUGCGAUUGGGAGGGAGAAAGAGUAUAAUCUCAUCUCUUCAUCUAAAGAGAAAGUUCUACAAGUUUCAACUGACAAAACAGAUGAAACACAAUCUGAGCAACAAGAGAAAAAUUGGGAUUGCAGUCAUAUCAGUAGAAAUGUAAUUUAGAUCGAUGACUUGGAAUCACUCCAAAACUUAGUG